UACGUAGGGUCCGAGCGUUGUCCGGAAUUAUUGGGCGUAAAGAGCUCGUAGGCGGUUUGUCACGUCUGCUGUGAAAACUGGAGGCUCAACCUCCAGCCUGCAGUGGGGUACGGGGCAGACUAGAGUGCGGUAGGGGAGAUUGGAAUUCCUGGUGUAGCGGUGGAAUCGCAGAUAUCAGGAGGAACACCGAUGGCGAAGGCAGCCCCCUGGGCUAACACUGA
rnacentral:rRNA from 1 species